rnacentral:tRNA from 1 species
CCAUAGAUAGCUUAAAGAAAGCUUCAAACUCUUAAUUUGAUGAUGAACAUUAGUUCUCUUUGGA